UACAGUGCAGGAAACUGAAGCUCAGAACAAAAAAGCACCUCGUCCAGUGUGGCCAGAGUUGGAAUCAGAAUUUAAGUCUUCUUUCUCUGAAGCAUAGACUCUUUCUUCUCAACCAUAUUGUCUCUUCUGGGAAGACAUCUCUUCUCCGGACCUGAAAACCAGAGACACGAGCUACCCCUAAUAACUUGCAAGCCUUCUCUAAUAAUUUGCCUCUGUAACUGCAAUCCAUUCAUCCACUGCACAGAUGUUUGUUCCCUCCAGAAUUGUUCAGAUCUACUUGCUCCUGCAGGACCUCAGUUUCUUGUUCAGUGAAGUGUCUGGCCACUGCCCUUGUUACCUUAUCCCCAACACACUGCCUAACUUGGCCUCCACCAGGAUGAAGCCUGGACUAGAACCACAGUUGCAUUGGUGCCCAGAUCUGAAAAAUGUAAUUCCCCCCUCUUUUGGAUUCAGGUUGAGCAUCAUGCUACGGGACAUGGAACUUGGCUUCCCCACCAGCUAUUCUGGGUGAUGCAACCCGAAGUUCAGGGCCGUGAUGCCUUGUGAGCAAAUGUUGAACUAUGAGAGACUACAGAUAGGGGGUGAGGAAAUGACAGAUAUGAAUAAACUUCCCAUCCCCAUUUCUACCUUCCCUCCACCUAGCAUUCUCGUAACUGAGACACUGUUUCCUCGUGAAGCUGUGGCAGCUCUAUGCUAUGCCACCUUGUAUUUGCUUUCCUGCCUCACUUCCAUUCCCCCGUCACUCUCAGUCUCAUAGGAUUGCACUCCCAGUAAAGCAUGAGAAUGGGAACUUUGUCUCAGCCCCUGUUUUCUAGAGAAUCUGAGUCAAGAUCAUGGAAUUCUCCAGGCAAGAAUGCUAGAGUGGGUAACUAUUCCCUUCUCCAGAGGAUCUACCCAAACAAGGGAUUGAACCUGGGUCUAUGCAUUGCAGGCUGAGUCUUCACCAUCUGAGCCAGCAGGGAAGCCCAUAUAAAGAACUACUAGAAGACAAUACGGAAAAGACCAACAGUGCUAUAGAAAAGUAUGCAGAUAUGAAGAAGUCGUUCACAAAAAUGUGACUUUAAGAGACACUGCUGCUGCUGCUAAGUCGCUUCAGUCGUGUCCGACUCUGCGCGACCCCAUAGGCAGCAGCCCACCAGGCUCCACUGUCCCCGGGACUCUCCAGGCAAGAACACUGGAGUGGGCUGCCAUUUCCUUCUCCAAUGCGUGAAAGUGAAAAGUGAAAGUGAAGUCGCUCAGUCGUGUCCGACUAGUAGCGACCCUAUGGACUGCAGCCUGCCAGACUCCUCCGUCCAUGAGAUUCUCCAGGCAAGAGUACUGGAGUGGCUUGCCAUUGCCUUCUCCAUUAAAAGACACUAGAAAUAAUUUUUUUUAAUGAAAAGAUUAACCUCACUCAUAAUAAGAUAUAUACAAGGUAAAGUUAAAAUGAUAUAUAUUUUUCACCUGUCAGAUUGAACAGUCUGAUUACAUACUGUGUCAGAAAGGUGUGAAGAAAAUAGGCACUCUCCUUGCUGGUGGAAAUAUAUAUCUAUAUAAUCUCUAAGGAGGAUAGUUUAGCAAUAUCUUUAAAAUUAAAAAAAAAUUGCAUACUUUUUAACCCAACAAUUUAAUAAGCUCAUUGUUGUUUUCUUUAUCAAUAGACUGGAAAUAAUUAAAAACUGCUUCCCUCCAUUAGAAACUGGUUCAGUAAAUUCUGGUACAUCCAUAAAAGAACAACUAUACAACUAUUAAAAAAUGAGAGAGUAUUUUUCUUUUAAAGGUACUGAUAUGUAAAGGUUUUCAGUUUAUCUCAAGUAAAAAUAUCUCUAGAAGGAAACUGGUACCAGUGGCUGCCUCUAAGGUGGACAAUCUUAGCUUUACACCUUUUGUGCCUUUUGAAUUUUGUGUCACAUGGGUCUAUUUUUUCCUUAUCAACUUUAUUGAGGAAUUAGUUAUGUACAGUUACACUACAUCCAUUUAAAAGGCACAAUUCUAUGAGGUUUGAGAAUUUUAUACACUUGUGAAAACAUCACCAUGAUCACGAUACAGAGCAUUUACAUCGUCCCCAGAGAUUCCCCAUGACACUUUGCUGUCCAUCUCUCUCUCUUCCCUGGUCCUUCACAACCACUGAACUGCUUUCUGUUGUUAGAGGUUAGUGUGUAUUUGAUAUAAACUGAAUCAUACAAUAUGUACUCCUGUAUCCGGCUUUUGCACGUUGCAUAAUGAUUCAAGAUUCAUUCAUGUUGUUAUGUGUAUUGAUAGCUCAUUACUGAAUAGUGCCUUCCCUGGUGGCUCAGAUGGUAAAGUGUCUGCCACAAUGUGGGAGACCUGGGUUCCAUCCCUGUGCGGGGAAGAUCCUCUGGAGAAGGAAAUGGCAACCUACUCUAGUACUCUUGCCUGGAAAAUCCCAUAGAUGGAAGAGCCUGGUAAGCUACAGUCCGUGGGGUCGCAAAGAGUCGGACAUGACUGAGUGACUUCACCUUGCCUUACCUUACUGAAUAGUAUUCUAUCUUACAGUUGUACCACAUUUUGUUUAUGUAGCCAACUGUUGGGUAACAUUUGGGUUGUCUACAGAUCUGGACUGUGUGAAUAAUGCUGUCAUGAACCUUUAUGUACAAGUCUUUGAAUGCAGUUAUGUCUUCAUUUUUUUUUUUUUUUUUUAGUAAAUACCUUGAAGUGGAAAGGCAGGACUGUAUGGUAUAUGUAUGUUAACUUCUUAAGAAAUGCCAGUUUUGCAAAAUGAUUGAAUCAUUUUCCAUUCCUACCUGCAGUGUAUGAGAGUUUCCGUUAUUCUACAUCCUUGCUAAUACUUGGUGUCGAUCUUUUAAAUGUUAUAAGGAGUAUAUGAUGGUGAAUUACCU
ensembl:lincRNA